GGGUUGUGAGGUUAAGCGACUAAGCGUACACGGUGGAUGCCCUGGCAGUCAGAGGCGAUGAAGGACGUGCUAAUCUGCGAUAAGCGUCGGUAAGGUGAUAUGAACCGUUAUAACCGGCGAUUUCCGAAUGGGGAAACCCAGUGUGUUUCGACACACUAUCAUUAACUGAAUCCAUAGGUUAAUGAGGCGAACCGGGGGAACUGAAACAUCUAAGUACCCCGAGGAAAAGAAAUCAACCGAGAUUCCCCCAGUAGCGGCGAGCGAACGGGGAGCAGCCCAGAGCCUGAAUCAGUGUGUGUGUUAGUGGAAGCGUCUGGAAAGGCGCGCGAUACAGGGUGACAGCCCCGUACACAAAAAUGCACAUGCUGUGAGCUCGAUGAGUAGGGCGGGACACGUGGUAUCCUGUCUGAAUAUGGGGGGACCAUCCUCCAAGGCUAAAUACUCCUGACUGACCGAUAGUGAACCAGUACCGUGAGGGAAAGGCGAAAAGAACCCCGGCGAGGGGAGUGAAAAAGAACCUGAAACCGUGUACGUACAAGCAGUGGGAGCACGCUUAGGCGUGUGACUGCGUACCUUUUGUAUAAUGGGUCAGCGACUUAUAUUCUGUAGCAAGGUUAACCGAAUAGGGGAGCCGAAGGGAAACCGAGUCUUAACUGGGCGUUAAGUUGCAGGGUAUAGACCCGAAACCCGGUGAUCUAGCCAUGGGCAGGUUGAAGGUUGGGUAACACUAACUGGAGGACCGAACCGACUAAUGUUGAAAAAUUAGCGGAUGACUUGUGGCUGGGGGUGAAAGGCCAAUCAAACCGGGAGAUAGCUGGUUCUCCCCGAAAGCUAUUUAGGUAGCGCCUCGUGAAUUCAUCUCCGGGGGUAGAGCACUGUUUCGGCAAGGGGGUCAUCCCGACUUACCAACCCGAUGCAAACUGCGAAUACCGGAGAAUGUUAUCACGGGAGACACACGGCGGGUGCUAACGUCCGUCGUGAAGAGGGAAACAACCCAGACCGCCAGCUAAGGUCCCAAAGUCAUGGUUAAGUGGGAAACGAUGUGGGAAGGCCCAGACAGCCAGGAUGUUGGCUUAGAAGCAGCCAUCAUUUAAAGAAAGCGUAAUAGCUCACUGGUCGAGUCGGCCUGCGCGGAAGAUGUAACGGGGCUAAACCAUGCACCGAAGCUGCGGCAGCGACGCUUAUGCGUUGUUGGGUAGGGGAGCGUUCUGUAAGCCUGUGAAGGUGUGCUGUGAGGCAUGCUGGAGGUAUCAGAAGUGCGAAUGCUGACAUAAGUAACGAUAAAGCGGGUGAAAAGCCCGCUCGCCGGAAGACCAAGGGUUCCUGUCCAACGUUAAUCGGGGCAGGGUGAGUCGACCCCUAAGGCGAGGCCGAAAGGCGUAGUCGAUGGGAAACAGGUUAAUAUUCCUGUACUUGGUGUUACUGCGAAGGGGGGACGGAGAAGGCUAUGUUGGCCGGGCGACGGUUGUCCCGGUUUAAGCGUGUAGGCUGGUUUUCCAGGCAAAUCCGGAAAAUCAAGGCUGAGGCGUGAUGACGAGGCACUACGGUGCUGAAGCAACAAAUGCCCUGCUUCCAGGAAAAGCCUCUAAGCAUCAGGUAACAUCAAAUCGUACCCCAAACCGACACAGGUGGUCAGGUAGAGAAUACCAAGGCGCUUGAGAGAACUCGGGUGAAGGAACUAGGCAAAAUGGUGCCGUAACUUCGGGAGAAGGCACGCUGAUACGUAGGUGAAGUCCCUCGCGGAUGGAGCUGAAAUCAGUCGAAGAUACCAGCUGGCUGCAACUGUUUAUUAAAAACACAGCACUGUGCAAACACGAAAGUGGACGUAUACGGUGUGACGCCUGCCCGGUGCCGGAAGGUUAAUUGAUGGGGUCAGCGCAAGCGAAGCUCUUGAUCGAAGCCCCGGUAAACGGCGGCCGUAACUAUAACGGUCCUAAGGUAGCGAAAUUCCUUGUCGGGUAAGUUCCGACCUGCACGAAUGGCGUAAUGAUGGCCAGGCUGUCUCCACCCGAGACUCAGUGAAAUUGAACUCGCUGUGAAGAUGCAGUGUACCCGCGGCAAGACGGAAAGACCCCGUGAACCUUUACUAUAGCUUGACACUGAACAUUGAGCCUUGAUGUGUAGGAUAGGUGGGAGGCUUUGAAGUGUGGACGCCAGUCUGCAUGGAGCCGACCUUGAAAUACCACCCUUUAAUGUUUGAUGUUCUAACGUUGACCCGUAAUCCGGGUUGCGGACAGUGUCUGGUGGGUAGUUUGACUGGGGCGGUCUCCUCCUAAAGAGUAACGGAGGAGCACGAAGGUUGGCUAAUCCUGGUCGGACAUCAGGAGGUUAGUGCAAUGGCAUAAGCCAGCUUGACUGCGAGCGUGACGGCGCGAGCAGGUGCGAAAGCAGGUCAUAGUGAUCCGGUGGUUCUGAAUGGAAGGGCCAUCGCUCAACGGAUAAAAGGUACUCCGGGGAUAACAGGCUGAUACCGCCCAAGAGUUCAUAUCGACGGCGGUGUUUGGCACCUCGAUGUCGGCUCAUCACAUCCUGGGGCUGAAGUAGGUCCCAAGGGUAUGGCUGUUCGCCAUUUAAAGUGGUACGCGAGCUGGGUUUAGAACGUCGUGAGACAGUUCGGUCCCUAUCUGCCGUGGGCGCUGGAGAACUGAGGGGGGCUGCUCCUAGUACGAGAGGACCGGAGUGGACGCAUCACUGGUGUUCGGGUUGUCAUGCCAAUGGCACUGCCCGGUAGCUAAAUGCGGAAGAGAUAAGUGCUGAAAGCAUCUAAGCACGAAACUUGCCCCGAGAUGAGUUCUCCCUGACUCCUUGAGAGUCCUGAAGGAACGUUGAAGACGACGACGUUGAUAGGCCGGGUGUGUAAGCGCAGCGAUGCGUUGAGCUAACCGGUACUAAUGAACCGUGAGGCUUAACCUUACAACGCCGAAG
rnacentral:rRNA from 1 species